AGAGCAGUAAUAACUUUAAGGCACAGAGCAGUACAAUGUAUCUGCAUUAGCUGUGCCACUCAUUUUAUGAAGCAAAAUAUACAAUUAAGCGUUUCGAACACAAACCAAAAGUAACGUGCCCAAGACAAAUACCAUAACUGUGAGCCACACGUUGUCAAGAGAACUUGUAGAAUGAUCAUAUUUGUCCACUGCAUGCUUGAGCGGUAUGGUAGCACAUUUUUCCAAGCCCAUGUAAUAUGCAAUAAAUGGAAUUUGGAAGAGCUACGAUUGAAAAUAUGAAGCCCAAGCUCACUGCCACACUUUGACAAAGUGACCUGCCAUCAGGGAAACAUUACAGUCAUUGCCAAGGCAGAGACUCAAAGAAAUGUCUUUUAUACAAUUUAGAACUUCUACCUUUACCUCUGUAAGGCAGCUUACAUCUGUAAAAUUUUACACUAGUAGUUUGCAACUACUCACAACCUCGAGUAUGCUCACGCAAACAUAUGCUACAAGAACUUUCAGCUGACUUUUUCUUUUUGCUGGAUAAUUUUAUCAGAGAUACUAAGUGAAGUAGAUAUGGAAUAUUUGAGGAAACACAACUGUUUGUGCCAUGAGGCCGUCGUAGGCAACAUGGUGAGUGACUGGUCUGAACUAUAGUGGCAGUGCUUGCAAUGAAGUUGAACCUUCAUUAUAGUGGUCGGAUUCGACACGAAAAUACAUUCGUUAUGAGCAUAAAUUCACUGCACACUGAUAUCUACAAGAAAAUUUUUAUAUUUACUUCACUACAUCCAAUAAUUCGAUUUAACUGAGUUUGUUAUGCCAAGGUUUGACUGUAUAUUUGAAACUAAUCGGAUAACAGUACCAACCACUUAGAUGUAGUCAUAUGUGGCAUGAACUCCCCAAAAAUGGUCACUGAUAUAUGUCCAUUGCGUCACAGUGCCAGUCAAGUCCCAAUGAUGUCACUCCGGAAAUGUGCGGCUUGCAAACCCAAAAGUUUCCACUGCACACCUUUGGCCACUCAGUUAACAUUGCUUCAAGACAAGUUUCACUACUGUUCGUGUGACUAAUGGCACCAUGGCAUUGAAAUCCAGUACUGUGCAGUCUUCUCCUGCUUCGGAUGUGCGAAAUGCCUGCUGCAGAGAGAACAGGGUGAUGCAGUUUGGCCCUAUUGACAACAGAUGGCACCGAUCUUCCUUCCGCUGAUAAAAAUUGAAAUUUUUCAUCUGCUCUCACAGAGAAUGUGUACUUCCAAUUUAUUCUGGAUGCAACGGUUGAUUACUGCAUCAGAACAUGGCAAACAAAGUGUGCUGUGAAGAGCCACUUCUGUUUAAUAUAUGUCUUUAAAUGAGCCAUUAGUCUUACCACAAGGCCAUUUAUACAUAGCUUCAUAAUGGCUGCAAACAACAACAAUAAUAAAAACCACAGACAGAGCAGAGGUUGCAACAUUUCUAUUCAUUUAAUUGUCCAGUGGAUGACAACCGGGUACAAGAAAACUCAAGUGUGUAGAAAAACAAAACAAGAAAAAAUUGAAUCAACCUCAUACUUAACACACAACGGCAACAGACAAAGCA